GUGCUAGCUUCAGCAGCACAUAUACUAAAAUUGGAAAGAUACAGAGAUUAGCAUGGCCCCUGUGCAAACAUGACAUGCAAAUUCGUGAAGCAUUCCAUAUUUUU
ensembl:snRNA U6 U6 spliceosomal RNA